rnacentral:misc_RNA from 1 species
UUUCCGUAGGUGAACCUGCGGAAGGAUCAUUAAAAAAUGAGACUCGAUUUUAAUGAGUUCAUUAAUAAUCCUACCCUUUGUGAAUUUGUUUGUUUGAAAUAAUUUUUUCAAAAAAAUUAUUGAAUGUCUUUCCCUAGUUUGUGUGCUGUAAAGUGAAACAUACCAGGGGAUGGCAAACAAUAAUAUUUUGAAAAGACUUUUUUUAAAAUUAAACUUUUUGUAUUCAUUUGUCUAAAAUUAUUUUUAUAAUAUAAAAACAACUUUUGACAAUGGAUCUCUUGGUUCUCGCAACGAUGAAGAACGCAGCAAAAUGCGAUAAGUAGUGUGAAUUGCAGAAUACGUGAAUCAUCGAAUCUUCGAACGCAUAUUGCACUUUUUUAGUUUACUAAAAAAGUAUGUCUGUUUGAGUAUCAGUAAAAUAUUCUCAUAAAAACUUGUUUUUUUUAUGGUUAUGAGUGUUUUACAACGAUACAAGUUGUUUCACUUUAAAUUCUUUGUAUCAUAAAAAAUCAUUAAAACUAAUUUUAAAGAUUUUUUUAAAAUUGGAUAAAAUUUUCCCGUAAAAAGGAAUAACCUAAACAAUUUUAAAAAUAUUAAAAUUAGUUGAUUUUUUCUGAAAAAAAAGGAAAAAGUAUAAAUUAACUUGAUCUCAAAUCAGAUAAGAGUACCCGCUGAACUUAAGCAUAUCAAUAAGCGGAGGAAAAGAAACUAACUAGGAUUCCCUUAGUAACGGCGAGUGAAGCGGGAAGAGCUCAAAUUUGAAAUCUUCAAGGUUUUACCUUGACGAAUUGUAGUUUAAAGAAGUGUUUUCUGUUGGAAUUUUGGUAAAAGUUCUUUGGAAAAGACAUCAUAGAGGGUGAGAAUCCCGUAUUUGACCAUUACUUUCCAGCUGUGUGAUACACUUUCAAAGAGUCGGAUUGUUUGGGAAUGCAGUCCAAAAUGGGUGGUAAAUUUCAUCUAAAGCUAAAUAUUGGCGAGAGACCGAUAGCGAACAGGUACCGUGAGGGAAAGAUGAAAAGAACUUGAAAAGAGAGUUAACAGUACGUGAAAUUGUCAAAAGGGAAGCGUUUGACACCAGUGUUGUUUUCUCGAAAAUCAAUUAAAAAUGGCUGAUUUUGUGUUGUAUUGACUUUAUCGCUUUCUGCACUUUUUUCAUAUCUUUUUUAAUGCACUUUUCGUUUAGCAAGUCAACAUCAAUUUCUUUUGUUGUAAAAGGGUUAUUGGAAGGUGGCUUUCUCUUCGGAGAAAGUGUUUAUAGCCUUUGGCCUCUGCAAUCGGAGAGAUUGAGGUCUGCAGCGUAGAUCCUUCGGGGUUAGAUACAUUUGUGCUAAGUUAUAGUCUUUUAUAGACAACUUGUUGACUAUGAUCAGUCUGUAGCUUACUCGCUUAUGCUAUUU